rnacentral:rRNA from 1 species
GACAGAGGGUGCAAACGUUGCUCGGAAUCACUGGGCGUAAAGGGCGUGUAGGCGGAGAAGUAAGUCGGGCGUGAAAUCCCCAGGCUCAACCUGGGAACUGCACUCGAAACUACUUCCCUUGAGUGUCGGAGAAGGAAAGCGGAAUACCUGGUGUAGAGGUGAAAUUCGUAGAUAUCAGGUGGAACACCAGUGGCGAAGGCGGCUUUCUGGACGAUAACUGACGCUGAGACGCGAAAAGCGUGGGGAGCGAACAGG